AGCUUUGCGCAGUGGCAGUAUCGUAGCCAAUGAGGUUUAUCUGAGGCGCGAUUAUUGCUAAUUGAAGAAAUUAAAAAUAGAACUUCCCUAUGACCCUGCCAUUGCACUCCUGGGUAUUUACCCCAAAGAUACAGAUGU